rnacentral:rRNA from 1 species
CGCCGCGUGGGUGAUGAAGGCCUUCGGGUCGUAAAGCCCUUUUCUGCGUGACGAGACAAAGGACGGUAGCGCAGGAAAAAGUCUCGGCUAACUACGUGC